rnacentral:rRNA from 1 species
GUGAUGGUUCCUUUGAUUUUGGGGAAGAUAGAAAGCGAGUAACACUUAUAAUACAUGCUAGGGGCGUGAUGUAACCCAUGAAAGUUGGGAAAUGUUUAUGUUUCGUACAGGUGAGUAAAGUUUCGGAUUUAACCAGUUGGAUAUAGGUAUUGAAGACUGAUAAGCCGGGGUCGUAUUAGGCGGAAUUAGCCCAUGAUGCGUAGCUAAGAAGCCACAUUUCCACUGAAACAAGGGGGAAACUCAAAAAGAGGCAGCAGUAGAGAAUAUUGUACAAUGUAUGAAAGUAUGAUACAGAGAUGUUACAUUGAUUUAAGAAGACUAUCUAAUAUAUGUGCCAGCAGAUGCGGUUAUACAUAAGGUCUAAGUUUUUGUAGGAAAAGGCGUAAAGUGUGUGUAGAUGAGGGAGUUUUAAAUGGGUAAAUAGAAUUAAAUUAAGUAGUGGUGAAAUAUAUUAAUAUUAAUAAGAAUAUUAAAGGCGAAGGCAAUGUGCUAGUUAAAACUGACAUUAAAACACGAAAGUAGGGGGAGCAAACAGGAUUAGAGACCCUGGUAGUCCCUACUGUAAACUAUGACAAAGAGAUUAUUAAUGGGGCAAUAAUCAAAAAUAACUUAAGAGAGGUCCGCCUGAUGUCUACGAUCGCAAGAUUAACAUUCAAAAAAUUUGGCGGUUCACUAAUCCAAUUAGAGGAGCGUGUAGUUUAAUUCGAUGGUCCGCGAAUAACCUUACCAAGGUUUGAAUAAGGAGUAAUUAAGUAAUUUAUUACUUUAGAUACAGGUAUUACAUGGCCGUCGUCAGUUUGUGUUUUGAAAGAAAUAGAACAAACUUAACCCUUAAUUAAAAUUGUUUGUGAUAAAAGAUUUAAUUAAAGGAUGACGUCAGGUCCUUAUGAUCCAAAUAUCUUGGGCGAUAUAUGCGCUACAAUUUUAUAUACAAAGGGUUUAAAGUAAGCUUGAAAGUAGGAGUUCGAAGAAAUUUUUUAAAAAGAAAUUUGAAGUUGGAUUUAAUAGUAAUCGAGGAGUAGAGUGUCUCGGUGAAUGUGGCUCUAGUGUUCGUACAAAUCGCCCGUCACCUCCACCAAAUAAACGAUUUAAAAGUAUUAUAUUAAAUAAAAAAAAUAAAAAAUAAAUAUUGGGUAUUAUUUGAAUAAAAUUUUUAUUUUUAGUUAAUAUAAAAAAAAGGUUAUAAGGUUGAGGAAGUCGUAACACAGUGAGGGUAUUGGAAGAUGUUCUCGGAUUAAUCCGUGU